AAAUUACAAACUCAAUCAGUAAGGAUGGAAGCACUCGAAGAAAAGAAUCAAAAUAAGAAUGUAGAGGAUAUGAGUUCACGUGCUUUUACUCCACAGUCUCAACAAGGAAGUGGUAUGGAGGGAGGUAUUGCACCAGUGGAAAAUGGAAAGU